AUAAAUAUAAUAAAUAUUAAAUAUAUUUAAAUAAAAAAAACCUUAAAAAAUUAUAAAAUUAAUAUAUUAUAAUAAAUAAAAAUUAAAUAAAUAAUAUAAUAAAUAAAAGUUUAAUUCUAAAUAUAAUAAAAAAUAUAUAAUAAAUUAUAAUAACCUAAAAUAUAAAAAAUAUAAAAAAAUAAAAGAUUAAAUUUAUAAUUAUUUAUAUUAAAUAUUUAAUAAUAGGUUUUAUUUUAAGUAUUUAUA
rnacentral:tRNA from 1 species